rnacentral:rRNA from 1 species
GCAAGUCGAGCGCGAAAGUACCUUCGGGUGCGAGUAGAGCGGCGGACGGGUGAGUAAUGCAUGGGAAUCUGCCCAGUAGAGGGGGACAACAGCCGGAAACGGCUGCUAAUACCGCAUACGCCCUACGGGGGAAAGCAGGGGAUCUUCGGACCUUGCGCUAUUGGAUGAGCCCAUGUCGGAUUAGCUUGUAGGUGGGGUAAUGGCCUACCUAGGCGACGAUCCGUAGCUGGUCUGAGAGGAUGAUC